rnacentral:rRNA from 1 species
UGGGGAAUAUUGCACAAUGGGGGAAACCCUGAUGCAGCGACGCCGCGUGAACGAAGAAGUAUUUCGGUAUGUAAACCUCUUUAGCCGGGGAGCAACGUGCGCCACGUGUGGCGCAGUGAGAGUACCCGGAGAAUAAGCAUCGGCUAACUCCGUGCCAGCAGCCGCGGUAAUACGGAGGAUGCGAGCGUUAUCCGGAUUUAUUGGGUUUAAAGGGUGCGCAGGCGGCGCGAAAAGUCAGCGGUCAAAGUUCCGGGCUCAACCCGGUGACGCCGUUGAAACUUUCGGGCUGGAGUUCGUGCGAGGGAGGCGGAAUGCGUUGUGUAGCGGUGAAAUGCAUAGAUAUGACGCAGA